rnacentral:rRNA from 1 species
UACGGAGGGUGCGAGCGUUGUCCGGAAUCAUUGGGCGUAAAGGGUGCGUAGGUGGCGUCGUAAGUCGGGUGUGAAAUCUCGGGGCUUAACUCCGAAACUGCAUUCGAUACUGCGGUGCUUGAGGACUGGAGAGGAGACUGGAAUUUACGGUGUAGCAGUGAAAUGCGUAGAGAUCGUAAGGAAGACCAGUGGCGAAGGCGGGUCUCUGGACAGUUCCUGACACUGAGGCACGAAGGCCAGGGGAGCAAACGGG